rnacentral:rRNA from 1 species
UACAGAGGGUGCAAGCGUUAAUCGGAAUUACUGGGCGUAAAGCGUGCGUAGUCGGUUAUUUAAGUCGGGUGUGAAAGCCCCGGGCUCAACCUGGGAAUUGCAUUCGAUACUGGAUAGCUAGAGUUCGGCAGAGGGAAGUGGAAUUUCUGGUGUAGCGGUGAAAUGCGUAGAUAUCAGGAGGAACACCGGUGGCGAAGGCGGGUCUCUGGGCAACUACUGACGCUGAGGAGCGAAAGCGUGGGAGCGAACAGG